CCUACGGGGGGCUGCAGUAGGGAAUUUUCGGCAAUGGGGGGAACCCUGACCGAGCAACGCCGCGUGAACGAAGAAGUUAUUCGUAAUGUAAAGUUCUUUUAACAGGGAAGAAAGAGAAAUUUGACGGUACCUGAAGAAUAAGCUCCGGCUAACUACGUGCCAGCAGCCGCGGUAAUACGUAGGGAGUGAGCGUUAUCCGGAAUUAUUGGGCGUAAAGGGUGCGUAGAUGGCAUAGUAAGUCUUUUGUAAAAAUGCUGGGCUCAACCCAGUAGGGCAAAAGAUACUGGAAAGUUAUAGUAUGACAGAGGCAAGGGGAACGACAUGUGUAGCGGGAAAAUGCGGUAGUUUAUGGAAGAACACCAGUGGCGAAGGCGGCUUGCUUGGUCGAUACUGACAUUGAGGCACGAAAGCGUGGGGGGCAAACAGGAUUAGAUACCCCUAGUAGUC
rnacentral:rRNA from 1 species